UUUUGACCAUAUUAAUCUAGCCCAAU
rnacentral:piRNA from 1 species